GACGAACGCUGGCGGCGUGCUUAACACAUGCAAGUGGAGCGACGAACCGGGGCUUGCCCCGGGGCAGAGCCGCGAACGGGUGAGUAACACGUGGGUAACCCACCCCGAUGAUUGGGACAACCCGGGGAAACUCGGGCUAAUACCAAAUGUGCUCGUAGACCAUGAGGUCCAUGAGUAAAGAUAGCUUCGGCCUUCGCAUCGGGACGGGCCCGCGGCCCAUUAGCUUGUUGGUGAGGUAACGGCUCACCAAGGCUGCGAUGGGUAGCUGGUCUGAGAGGACGAUCAGCCACACUGGGACUGAGACACGGCCCAGACUCCUACGGGAGGCAGCAGUGGGGAAUCUUGCGCAAUGCGCGAAAGCGUGACGCAGCAACGCCGCGUGGAGGAAGACGGUCUUCGGAUUGUAAACUCCUUUCAGUUGGGACGAAGCUCAACGGGUUAAUAGCUCGGUGGAGUGACGGUACCUUCAGAAGAAGCCCCGGCUAACUACGUGCCAGCAGCCGCGGUAAUACGUAGGGGGCUAGCGUUGUCCGGAAUCAUGGGGCGUAAAGCGCGUGUAGGCGGUCCGGUAAGUCCGCUGUGAAAGUCGGGGGCUCACCCCUCGAAUGCC
rnacentral:rRNA from 1 species